ACGAACGCUGGCGGCAGGCUUAACACAUGCAAGUCGCGCGCCUCGCAAGAGGAGCGGCAGACGGGUGAGUAACGCGUGGGAACGUACCCUUAUCUUCGGAAUAGCUCUGGGAAACUGGAAGUAAUACCGAAUGUGCCCUUAGGGGGAAAGAUUUAUCGGAUAAGGAUCGGCCCGCGUUGGAUUAGCUAGUUGGUGGGGUAAAGGCCUACCAAGGCGACGAUCCAUAGCUGGUCUGAGAGGAUGAUCAGCCACAUUGGGACUGAGACACGGCCCAAACUCCUACGGGAGGCAGCAGUGGGGAAUAUUGGACAAUGGGCGCAAGCCUGAUCCAGCCAUGCCGCGUGAGUGAUGAAGGCCUUAGGGUUGUAAAGCUCUUUCACCGGAGAAGAUAAUGACGGUAUCCGGAGAAGAAGCCCCGGCUAACUUCGUG
rnacentral:rRNA from 1 species